GAUGAACGCUGGCGGCGUGCCUAAUACAUGCAAGUCGAGCGAACGGACGAGAAGCUUGCUUCUCUGAUGUUAGCGGCGGACGGGUGAGUAACACGUGGAUAACCUACCUAUAAGACUGGGAUAACUUCGGGAAACCGGAGCUAAUACCGGAUGAUAUUUUGAACCGCAUGGUUCAAAAGUGAAAGACGGUCUUGCUGUCACUUAUAGAUGGAUCCGCGCUGCAUUAGCUAGUUGGUAAGGUAACGGCUUACAAAGGCAACGAUGCAUAGCCGACCUGAGAGGGUGAUCGGCCACACUGGAACUGAGACACGGUCCAGACUCCUACGGGAGGCAGCAGUAGGGAAUCUUCCGCAAUGGGCGAAAGCCUGACGGAGCAACGCCGCGUGAGUGAUGAAGGUCUUCGGAUCGUAAAACUCUGUUAUUAGGGAAGAACAUAUGUGUAAGUAACUGUGCACAUCUUGACGGUACCUAAUCAGAAAGCCACGGCUAACUACGUG
rnacentral:rRNA from 1 species